rnacentral:tRNA from 1 species
GUCUCGUUGGUCAAGCGGCUAAGACACCGCCCUCUCACGGCGGAAACAGGGGUUCGAUUCCCCUACGAGAUGC